AGUGAACGCUGGCGGUAGGCCUAACACAUGCAAGUCGAACGGCAGCACAGUAAGAGCUUGCUCUUACGGGUGGCGAGUGGCGGACGGGUGAGGAAUACAUCGGAAUCUACUUUUUCGUGGGGGAUAACGUAGGGAAACUUACGCUAAUACCGCAUACGACCUACGGGUGAAAGCAGUGGAUCUUCGGACCUUGCGCGAUUGAAUGAGCCGAUGUCGGAUUAGCUAGUUGGCGGGGUAAAGGCCCACCAAGGCGACGAUCCGUAGCUGGUCUGAGAGGAUGAUCAGCCACACUGGAACUGAGACACGGUCCAGACUCCUACGGGAGGCAGCAGUAGGGAAUAUUGGGCAAUGGGCGCAAGCCUGAUCCAGCCAUACCGCGUGGGUGAAGAAGGCCUUCGGGUUGUAAAGCCCUUUUGUUGGGAAAGAAAAGAAGCAGGUUAAUCCCCCGCUGUUCUGACGGUACCCAAAGAAUAAGCACCGGCUAACUUCGUG
rnacentral:rRNA from 1 species